UGGCGGCAGGCCUAACACAUGUCAAGUCGAACGGACCCUUCGGGGUUAGUGGCGGACGGGUGAGUAACACGUGGGAACGUGCCUUUAGGUUCGGAAUAGCUCCUGGAAACGGGUGGUAAUGCCGAAUGUGCCCUUCGGGGGAAAGAUUUAUCGCCUUUAGAGCGGCCCGCGUCUGAUUAGCUAGUUGGUAAGGUAAAAGCUUACCAAGGCGACGAUCAGUAGCUGGUCUGAGAGGAUGAUCAGCCACAUUGGGACUGAGACACGGCCCAAACUCCUACGGGAGGCAGCAGUGGGGAAUCUUGCGCAAUGGGCGAAAGCCUGACGCAGCCAUGCCGCGUGAAUGAUGAAGGUCUUAGGAUUGUAAAAUUCUUUCACCGGGGACGAUAAUGACGGUACCCGGAGAAGAAGCCCCGGCUAACUUCGUGCCAGCAGCCGCGGUAAUACGAAGGGGGCUAGCGUUGCUCGGAAUUACUGGGCGUAAAGGGCGCGUAGGCGGAUCGUUAAGUCAGAGGUGAAAUCCCGGAGCUCAUCUUCGGAAUUGCCUUUGAUACUGGCGAUCUUGAGUGUGAGAGAGGUAUGUGGAACUCCGAGUGUAGAGGUGAAAUUCGUAGAUAUUCGGAAG
rnacentral:rRNA from 1 species